rnacentral:rRNA from 1 species
GACGAACGCUGGCGGCGUGCUUAAUACAUGCAAGUCAACUGAACUUUAGGUAGCAAUAUUUAAAGGGAGGUGGCGCACGGGUGAGUAACACGUAGGUAAUCUGCCUUCAGGACUGACAUAAUUCCGCGAAAGCGGGACUAAAAUCAGAUGAUGCAGCGGCUCGACAUCGAGACAGUUGUUAAACCUUCGGGGCCUGAAGAUGAGCCUGCGUCUGAUUAGGUAGUUGGCGGGGUAAAAGCCCACCAAGCCUGCGAUCAGUAGCUGGUCUGAGAGGAUGAUCAGCCACACUGGAACUGAGACACGGUCCAGACUCCUACGGGAGGCAGCAGUAAGGAAUAUUGCUCAAUGGCCGAAAGGCUGAAGCAGCAACGCCGCGUGGAGGAUGAAAUACUUUAGUAUGUAAACUCCUGUAAGAGGGGAAAAAUAUACAGCUAUGCUGUGUUGAUUGUAACCCUCAGAGUAAGCACCGGCUAACUACGUGCCAGCA